AUUGAACGCUGGCGGCAUGCCUUACACAUGCAAGUCGAACGGCAGCGCGGGGCAACCUGGCGGCGAGUGGCGAACGGGUGAGUAAUAUAUCGGAACGUACCCAGAAGUGGGGGAUAACGUAGCGAAAGUUACGCUAAUACCGCAUACGAUCUACGGAUGAAAGUGGGGGACCUUCGGGCCUCAUGCUUUUGGAGCGGCCGAUAUCUGAUUAGCUAGUUGGUGAGGUAAAGGCUUCACCAAGGCGACGAUCAGUAGCUGGUCUGAGAGGACGACCAGCCACACUGGAACUGAGACACGGUCCAGACUCCUACGGGAGGCAGCAGUGGGGGAAUUUUGGACAAUGGGGGCAACCCUGAUCCAGCAAUGCCGCGUGAGUGAAGAAGGCC
rnacentral:rRNA from 1 species